GGUACUGAGGGGCCCCAUCCCUGAUGCCAAGGCUGAGGGUGCGGCACACGCCCCGUGGAACGCCUGUGCUCUUCCUGCGGCCGGUGGCCCUCACUCCAGCAUCUGCGGGACCAGAGCAGAAGAAGGUUGGCUGUCCAGGCCCUGUGGCCCCAACACGGAGGUUGGGGUCUCAUGGGCCUCAGGCUUUGAGUCUCGGUGCUGCUUCUGACACAGGGAGGAUCCUGAGGGAGAGGCUGUUGACUGGCAGCUGCAGGCUGGCUGGGCCCUGGAAGUCCUGCAGCAACCCUCAGCCCUCCUCCAAGCCACCAAGGCUGCAGCUGCUGCUGCCAGAGGCUGGCCCAGAAACCCUCAGGCCAGAGCCCUCUGCAGAAGAGACUCACUCCAGGACACAGCCCUGUGGCUCAAAGGUGCCCUGGGCAGGACCUGCCCGCUGCCAACCGUCAGCAUCCGGGUCCCUUCACCGAAGCCAAGUCCUCGCCACCUCCUCCCCCUUCUGCCUCCCAGCUGAAGACCUGAGAGAUGGAAGCAGUGAUCACAUGGAGGACCCUCGAGCACCACCCACCAGCCAGACCAGCCUCGGACGCCCAGCCCCACCUGGGUCCCCAGCUCCCACAAGAGCUUUCAGCCUAGGACUUUGCCUGCCCUGGACUCUGGGAAAGACAUGAUCAGGUAAACUGAGGCACAGGUCUGGCAGUGUAGACCAUGAGCGCUGUGCAGGUCUGCAUAGGUGCAAGAGUCCCAUGUCUUGCUGGCCCUGUCCCUGAGGAGACCGGCUCAGAGGCUCCCAUACACACAGGUCCCACUGCUGCCCAGCUGA